rnacentral:lncRNA from 1 species
AUGGGACCAUGCCCAGUUUCCGCUCAUCCUAUACGGGAGAAUGUUGGUGAUCAGCGCCCUAUAUAUAAGGCUCCAGGCCUUGGUCUACUUCACGUCUGGGGCCACCACCCAGGAACCUUCUCUGUGUCUGUGCACGGGAUGAAUACACUGAAAGCGUUUGGUCCUUUAACGUGGUUGCAGCAAGCUUCCCGUGAUGACCUACUGCCGAGAGCUGUCUGCCUGGGACCAGGAGCUGGUGUGAGCAUCCCAUGAGGUAAGGUGAUGAAAGUGCUUUCCAAGCUCUGCGAAUGUGGUUGAGUGGUGAUUGCUUUUAAUUUUGCCAGGCCCGUGGGGAAGUCCAUGUGGCCUCAUACUGCUGUGAUCACAAUGCCUAUGGUCAGGACAUAUUCCACCUGCUCCUUCACAUCCUUCACGUCACUAACCAGGAGGGCAAGGGUAACAGAAGUCUGCAGCAUGGAGAAGCUGCGUCUCUGAGCCCUUACAAAAUGCUUAGUUUGGUUUCUGAAGUCAGUCAGACCUGAAGCUAAGUCCUUCCUCCCCACUUGCUAGCUGUAUGACCUUGGGAGUAUUACUUAACCUGUCAAAAGCUCAGCUUCCUCACCUGUAAAGUGGGGGUACCUGCUUAACAUGGAUGAACCUGGAGAGUAUUAUGUGAAGUAAGUCAGAGAAAGAAAAUAUUGGGUUUUGUUUGUUUCUUUGUCUGUUUUGUUUUGUUUGCCUUUUAGGCCGCACCCGUGGCAUAGAGAGUUUCCCAGGACAGGGGUCAAAUCGGAGCUGUAGCCGAUGGCCUACGGCUACAGCCACAGCAACGCCAGAUCCAAGCCACAUCUUCAACCUACAUCACAGCUCAUGGCAACACCGGGUCCCUAACCCACUGAGCGAGGACAGGGAUAGAACUUGUGUCCUCAUGGAUGCUAGUCAGAAGUCAUGGAUCCCUUUUGCUGAGCCAUAAAGGGAACUCCCCAAAUACUGUUACGGUUUAACGUAUAUGUGGAAUCUAAAAAAUAAAACAAAGGACAAUAACA